rnacentral:rRNA from 1 species
CCUACGGGAGGCAGCAGUGGGGAAUAUUGGACAAUGGGCGAAAGCCUGAUCCAGCAAUGCCGCGUGUGUGAAGAAGGCCUUCGGGUUGUAAAGCACUUUAAGUUGGGAAGAAAAAGCUCUGGCUAAUAUCUAGAGCCUUGACGGUACCAACAGAAUAAGCACCGGCUAACUCUGUGCCAGCAGCCGCGGUAAUACAGAGGGUGCUAGCGUUAAUCGGAUUUACUGGGCGUAAAGCGUGCGUAGGCGGUUUGAUAAGUCGAUUGUGAAAGCCCCGGGCUUAACCUGGGAAUUGCAGUUGAUACUGUCAGACUAGAAAACGGUAGAGGGAGGCGGAACUCCAGGUGUAGCGGUGAAAUGCGUAGAUAUCUGGAAGAACACCGAUGGCGAAGGCAACCUCCUGGGCCUGUUUUGACGCUGAGGCACGAAAGCGUGGGUAGCAAACAGGAUUAGAUACCCUGGUAGUCCACGCCGUAAACGAUGAGAACUUGACGUUGGUUUGCUUAGCAAAUCGGUGUCGUAGCUAACGCGAUAAGUUCUCCGCCUGGGGAGUACGGCCGCAAGGUUGAAACUCAAAGGAAUUGACGG